UACGGAGGGGACUAGCGUUGUUCGGAAUUACUGGGCGUAAAGCGCACGUAGGCGGAUUUGUAAGUCAGGGGUGAAAUCCCGGGGCUCAACCCCGGAACUCCCUUUGAUACUGCAAAUCUCGAGUCCGGAAGAGGUGAGUGGAAUUCCGAGUGUAGAGGUGAAAUUCGUAGAUAUUCGGAAGAACACCAGUGGCGAAGGCGGCUCACUGGCUCGGAACUGACGCUGAGGUGCGAAAGCGUGGGGAGCAAACAGG
rnacentral:rRNA from 1 species